GACAGAGGUGGCGAGCGUUAGGCGGAAUCACUGGGCUUAAAGCGCGCGCAGGCGGUCCUUUAAGUCUGAUGUGAAAGCCCACGGCUCAACCGUGGAGGGUCAUUGGAAACUGGGGGACUUGAGUACAGAAGAGGAAAGCGGAAUUCCACGUGUAGCGGUGAAAUGCGUAGAUAUGUGGAGGAACACCAGUGGCGAAGGCGGCUUUCUGGUCUGUAACUGACGCUGAGGCGCGAAAGCGUGGGGAGCAAACAGG
rnacentral:rRNA from 1 species